UUUUUUUUUUUUUUAAUUUGGGCCAUGAGGAGGGGGAGGAGGGGCAGGUGCUGCAGGCUCCUCCCUCUCCCCACCUCCAGCCAGCUGCCCUGCGAGAUGCAGGGUCCAUGCGGCAGCUGGAGUGCAGCUGGAGGAGAGUGCACCACGGAGGCUGUGCUCAGAGAAGAGUGCAGCUCUCUGCCCCGCCCCUCCCUCUCAGCCUCAGUAGUAGCAGCAGCCCUGGAGGCUUGGAUGACUCUGAGAGCAGGGAGCUCUGAGAAGCCAAGAAGUCUGAGGAAAGGAGCACAUCAGAGUGAGAGUCUGGAAGGAGAACAUUGGUGACAGCAUCCUGGAGGAGCAUGCCAGUGGCAUAGUCCUGAAGGAGGACAACAGUGU
rnacentral:lncRNA from 1 species